GCAUGAUAGGUUUGUGUUCUUUAAUCUCGAGAACACAAACUUGUAAUAUAUUGCAAAUCAACACAAAUGUUUUACAGUGCAUGUUGAAUAAUAAAUGUUUUCACCCUUGCAGCAUAAAAGAUGAACUGAGAGUGACAUGAGACAAAACAUUAUGUCCCGCAGACUGCUACUACUGUCUGCCCUCUGUAUGGCAACAUCUGUGUCUCUUGGUAAUGCACAGUGCAACACAACACAUUUAAAUGGUGAGAUUAUGAUAGUCUUUUACUUUCUGUGCAUGCAUGACAUCAUAGGAAAUAUCGGUCAGAGCACAUGGAACAAGGAGACUAGUUAUCGUUAAGGUGGUGCCCUCUAGUGGAGAGGUCCAGACACAUAAGGCCUGGGUGUCAUCAGCUUACAUU